CAGCAGCCGCGGUAAUACGGAGGGAGCUAGCGUUGUUCGGAAUUACUGGGCGUAAAGCGCGCGUAGGCGGUUUUUUAAGUCAGAGGUGAAAGCCCGGGGCUCAACCCCGGAAUUGCCUUUGAAACUGGAAAACUUGAAUCUUGGAGAGGUCAGUGGAAUUCCGAGUGUAGAGGUGAAAUUCGUAGAUAUUCGGAAGAACACCAGUGGCGAAGGCGACUGACUGGACAAGUAUUGACGCUGAGGUGCGAUAGCGUGGGGAGCAAACAGGAUUAGAUACCCUGGUAGUCCACGCCGUAAACGAUGAUAACUAGCUGUCCGGGUUCAUAGAACUUGGGUGGCGCAGCUAACGCAUUAAGUUAUCCGCCUGGGGAGUACGGUCGCAAGAUUAAAACUCAAAGGAAU
rnacentral:rRNA from 1 species